rnacentral:lncRNA from 1 species
AUGGAAGGAAGAGAAAGGCUUAGCAGCAUGAAGAACAUAUUUGAGAAGAAAUAUCACGCACAAGAAGUCAAGAAUGUACAGCAGGCCAAAGACUCUGGACCCCAGAAAAUCUCACCAACAUGUACAGAAAAUGGGAUAAAGGAGCUUUCGAAGGACCAAAGCGAAAGUAGGUUUACAUCUGGCUCAAGUCCUUGCGAAAACUCAUCUGCAUAUUUUUUAAAUAGUACAGACAGCCUUCCAUGGACUCAGAGCCAAGACAUCACAGCGAACACACAAAAGACUGAGACUGCCAUUUCUUCAUCCGUCACACCUGAUUACACUGAUGAUCUUUACAAGAUGAGCAUUAAUGUGACUUGUGUCGGACAAUCCAAGAUUUUUUUUAUAUUUCCUGCGGAGAAGAUCUCAGUCUUGCUUCAGGAGGCAUGUGACUGGGCUAAAAAGAAGCCAGAGAAAAUGAACCUUGUUUUUGAUGGUGAACAACUGGAUGUGAUGAAAGCAGUGAGCGAGCACCCCAAUCUGCGAGGAGGAAGCAAAGUGAACCUCAUUCGUGCUUCCUGAAAAUCACAGAAACAAAGUUCCAUUCUACAGAGUGUGUACAUGCAUGUAACAGCUUUACUAAUCACUGUAUUAAUUGUAUAUAUUAUAAUAAAAGUGCUUACUUGACAGAGAAUAUUGUGGGU